rnacentral:rRNA from 1 species
GUCCGCACGAGCGCAACCCUCGUCCUUAGUUGCCAGCAUUAAGUUGGGGACUCUAGGGAGACCGCCGGGGAGAACUCGGAGGAAGGUGGGGAUGACGUCAAGUCAGCAUGCCCCUUACGUCUUGGGCUACACACGUACUACAAUGGUUGGGACAAAGGGGAGCGAAGCCGCGAGGUGGAGCGAAUCUCAUCAAACCCAGCCACAGUUCAGAUUGCAGGCUGAAACUCGCCUGCAUGAAGGAGGAAUCGCUAGUAAUCGCAGGUCAGCAUACUGCGGUGAAUCCGUUCCCGGGUCUUGUACACACCGCCCGUCACACCAUGGAAGUUGGUCACGCCCGAAGUCGUUAUUCUAACCCAAGUGGAAGGAGACGCCGAAGGUGGGACUAGUGACUGGGGUG